rnacentral:rRNA from 1 species
GCCUACGGGGCGCAGCAGCCGCGGUAAUACGGAGGAUGCGAGCGUUAUCCGGAUUUAUUGGGUUUAAAGGGUGCGUAGGCGGGCUUUUAAGUCAGCGGUAAAAAUUCGGGGCUCAACCCCGUCCGGCCGUUGAAACUGGGGGCCUUGAGUGGGCGAGAAGAAGGCGGAAUGCGUGGUGUAGCGGUGAAAUGCAUAGAUAUCACGCAGAACUCCGAUUGCGAAGGCAGCAUACCGGCGCCCAACUGACGCUGAAGCACGAAAGCGUGGGUAUCGAACAGGAUUAGAUACCCUUGUAGUCCCAGAUC